rnacentral:rRNA from 1 species
GACGAACGCUGUUCGGCGUGCUUAACACAUGCAAGUCGAACGGAAAGGCCCUGCUUUUGUGGGGUGCUCGAGUGGCGAACGGGUGAGUAACACGUGAGUAACCUGCCCUUGACUUUGGGAUAACUUCAGGAAACUGGGGCUAAUACCGGAUAGGAGCUCCUGCUGCAUGGUGGGGGUUGGAAAGUUUCGGCGGUUGGGGAUGGACUCGCGGCUUAUCAGCUUGUUGGUGGGGUAGUGGCUUACCAAGGCUUUGACGGGUAGCCGGCCUGAGAGGGUGACCGGCCACAUUGGGACUGAGAUACGGCCCAGACUCCUACGGGAGGCAGCAGUGGGGAAUAUUGCACAAUGGGCGGAAGCCUGAUGCAGCAACGCCGCGUGCGGGAUGACGGCCUUCGGGUUGUAAACCGCUUUCGCCUGUGACGAAGCGUGAGUGACGGUAAUGGGUAAAGAAGCACCGGCUAACUACGUGCCAGCAGCCGCGGUGAUACGUAGGGCGCGAGCGUUGUCCGGAUUUAUUGGGCGUAAAGGGCUCGUAGGUGGUUGAUCGCGUCGGAAGUGUAAUCUUGGGGCUUAACCCUGAGCGUGCUUUCGAUACGGGUUGACUUGAGGAAGGUAGGGGAGAAUGGAAUUCCUGGUGGAGCGGUGGAAUGCGCAGAUAUCAGGAGGAACACCAGUGGCGAAGGCGGUUCUCUGGGCCUUUCCUGACGCUGAGGAGCGAAAGCGUGGGGAGCGAACAGGCUUAGAUACCCUGGUAGUCCACGCUGUAAACGGUGGGUACUAGGUGUGGGGUCCAUUCCACGGGUUCCGUGCCGUAGCUAACGCUUUAAGUACCCCGCCUGGGGAGUACGGCCGCAAGGCUAAAACUCAAAGGAAUUGACGGGGCCCCGCACAAGCGGCGGAGCAUGCGGAUUAAUUCGAUGCAACGCGUAGAACCUUACCUGGGUUUGACAUGGAUCGGGAGUGCUCAGAGAUGGGUGUGCCUCUUUUGGGGUCGGUUCACAGGUGGUGCAUGGCUGUCGUCAGCUCGUGUCGUGAGAUGUUGGGUUAAGUCCCGCAACGAGCGCAACCCUUGUUCACUGUUGCCAGCACGUUAUGGUGGGGACUCAGUGGAGACCGCCGGGGUCAACUCGGAGGAAGGUGGGGAUGACGUCAAGCCAUCAUGCCCCUUAUGUCCAGGGCUUCACGCAUGCUACAAUGGCUGGUACAGAGAGUGGCGAGCCUGUGAGGGUGAGCGAAUCUCGGAAAGCCGGUCUCAGUUCGGAUUGGGGUCUGCAACUCGACCUCAUGAAGUCGGAGUCGCUAGUAAUCGCAGAUCAGCAACGCUGCGGUGAAUACGUUCCCGGG